rnacentral:rRNA from 1 species
GACGAACGCUGGCGGCGUGCUUAACACAUGCAAGUCGAGCGGGUAAGGCCCUUUCGGGGGUACGACGAGCGGCGAACGGGUGAGUAACACGUGGGUGACCUGCCCUUAGCUCUGGGAUAAGCCGUGGGAAACUGGGUCUAAUACCGGAUAUGACUCCAUGACGCAUGUUGGUGGGGUGGAAAGCCUUGUGCGGCUAGGGAUGGGCCCGCGGCCUAUCAGCUUGUUGGUGGGGUGAUGGCCUA